rnacentral:rRNA from 1 species
AUUGAACGCUGGCGGCAUGCCUUACACAUGCAAGUCGAACGGCAGCACGGGUUCUUGCACCUGGUGGCGAGUGGCGAACGGGUGAGUAAUACAUCGGAACGUACCCUAUCGUGGGGGAUAACGCAGCGAAAGUUGCGCUAAUACCGCAUACGCCCUGAGGGGGAAAGCGGGGGACCGUAAGGCCUCGCGCGAUUAGAGCGGCCGGUGUCUGAUUAGCCUGUUGGUGAGGUAAAAGCUCACCAAGGCUAUGCUCAGUAGCUGGUCUGAGAGGACGAUCGGCCACACUGGGACUGAGGCACGGCCCAGACUCCUACGGGAGGCAGCAGUGGGGAAUUUGGGACAAUGGGGGCAACCCUGAUCCAGCAAUGCCGCGUGAGUGAAGGAGGCCUUCGGGUUGUAAAGCUCUUUUGUCAGGGAAGAAACAGCAGCUCUAACACAGUCUGCGAAUGACGGUACCUGAAGAAUAAGCACCGGCUAACUACGUGCCAGACGCCGCCGUAA